rnacentral:rRNA from 1 species
CCUACGGGCGGCAGCAGUGGGGGAUAUUGCACAAUGGGGGGAACCCUGACCCAGCAACGCCGCGUGAAGGAAGAAGGCUUUCGGGUUGUAAACUUCUUUUAAGAGGGAAGCGCAGAAGACGGUACCUCUUGAAUAAGCCACGGCUAACUACGUGCCAGCAGCCGCGGUAAUACGUAGGUGGCAAGCGUUGUCCGGAUUUACUGGGUGUAAAGGGCGUGUAGCCGGGCUGACAAGUCAGAUGUGAAAUCCGGGGGCUCAACCCCCGAACUGCAUUUGAAACUGUUGGUCUUGAGUAUCGGAGAGGCAGGCGGAAUUCCUAGUGUAGCGGUGAAAUGCGUAGAUAUUAGGAGGAACACCAGUGGCGAAGGCGGCCUGCUGGACGACAACUGACGGUGAGGCGCGAAAGCGUGGGGAGCAAACAGGAUUAGAUACCCCGGUAGUC